rnacentral:rRNA from 1 species
UACGUAGGGGGCAAGCGUUGUCCGGAUUUAUUGGGCGUAAAGAGCUCGUAGGUGGUUCGGCAAGUCAGUUGUGAAAUCUCCGCGCUCAACGCGGAGGGGUCAGCUGAAACUGCUGUGACUUGAGUCUGGUAGGGGAGUGUGGAAUUCCCGGUGUAGCGGUGAAAUGCGCAGAUAUCGGGAGGAACACCAGUGGCGAAGGCGGCACUCUGGGCCAGUACUGACACUGAGGAGCGAAAGCGUGGGGAGCGAACAGG